rnacentral:rRNA from 1 species
UACGUAGGGUGCAAGCGUUAAUCGGAAUUACUGGGCGUAAAGCGUGCGCAGGCGGUUGUGCAAGACAGAUGUGAAAUCCCCGGGCUUAACCUGGGAAUUGCAUUUGUGACUGCACGGCUAGAGUGUGUCAGAGGGGGGUGGAAUUCCACGUGUAGCAGUGAAAUGCGUAGAUAUGUGGAGGAAUACCGAUGGCGAAGGCAGCCCCCUGGGAUAACACUGACGCUCAUGCACGAAAGCGUGGGGAGCAAACAGG